rnacentral:rRNA from 1 species
GAUGAACGCUGGCGGCGUGCCUAAUACAUGCAAGUCGAGCGAACAGACGAGGAGCUUGCUCCUCUGACGUUAGCGGCGGACGGGUGAGUAACACGUGGAUAACCUACCUAUAAGACUGGGAUAACUUCGGGAAACCGGAGCUAAUACCGGAUAAUAUAUUGAACCGCAUGGUUCAAUAGUGAAAGACGGUUUUGCUGUCACUUAUAGAUGGAUCCGCGCCGCAUUAGCUAGUUGGUAAGGUAACGGCUUACCAAGGCAACGAUGCGUAGCCGACCUGAGAGGGUGAUCGGCCACCCUGGAACUGAGCCACGGUCCAGACGCCUACGGGAGGCAGCAGUAGGGAAUCGUCCGCAAUGGGCGAGAGCAUGACGGAGCAACGCCGCGUGAGUGAUGACGGUCUUCGGAUCGUAAAACUCUGUUAUUAGGGAAGAACAAAUGUGUAAGUAACUAUGCACGUCUUGACGGUACCUAAUCAGAAAGCCACGGCUAACUACGUG